GUGAGCUGUGAGGAGUGUGCCCUCUUGCAGGACUGAGGGAAAGGGGGCCGUGGUGGGGUGCCGGCAGUCGCCCACACACUUAGCUCAUUAGAUCUUUCGCCCUGAAGUUUUUCUCCACCCUUAGUCCAUACGCAUAAUGCAUUAAUUUCACAUUCAAAAGCAGAGUGCUUUGGUUGAACCAUAGUAUUUAGCAGCGUGUUAGCGUGGCGGGGAGAGAGGCACGGGGUGAAGAAAACCCAGUUUCUUUCCUGCAGUUGCUCUCAGUAUGGCACCAGAGCACAGGGCUAUGGAUGAAUGAUCCAGGAGCGAUAUACCGUGGAUGCAAAUAAAAAUAUGUAGCAGAAACACAGAGCUUUGCUACAUAAGUUCAGGAGAGAAGAUUCUGGAUUCGGACUUAGUUUGCUCCCUAGCCAUGUAACCUAAAAGAAAUUACUGGAUCCUUCCUGCCUUCAGUUUUCCAGUGUGUAAAUGGGAUUGAAAUAGGUGUGCCUGUCUAUCAGGGAGUUAUGGUUACCAGGGUUGCAGGAGGUGACACAGGUGUAACACAAGCCACGUUCCAGACUCAUGGUGAGCACUUGAUAAAUACCAGCUUUUACCAGCAGUUGUCCUUGGGGGUAGCAUUUGGAGUAAGAGCAGUGGGAGCAGUCAUGGGUAGGAAUCAGGAUCUGGAAAGACGUUGAGGUCACAUUGACAAAGACGUGAGGGCAUGCAGGAACACGGCACAUCUGGGUAAUAAUUAAUAGGCCAAACUAUUCCAGUGUUCCAGUGGGAAGGAACGGAGUUGGAAAAAGACCAGGAAAAGAUUGUACAGGGUGGGGCUGAUAGAGGGAGCAGCCGGCCUGAGGGCCAAGGCUGCCCACUGGCGUUUUGAAGGCAGUGGUCGUGAAUGUGUGUCAGGAACACUGCAGGAAUGGCCACAGAGUUUUGCAGGCGGCACGUGCCGGCGGGUCUCUGAUGCAGGGCCACACAGGGAGCCACCUGAACACCGUGAGAGGGACCAGGCAGACUACCUUGCUCUUGUGUAUCUUCCGGCCAUCCCAGAAGCUGCUCCUGUGGUGCACCGCUUGAACCGCUGGAGUAGAGAGAAGCCCCUCCUGUUCUGCGCUCACAUGCCCUGGGUGGUCCACACGUCAUACGAGAGCCCUGGCUGUGACAGCAGUGUCCCGUGUGCAGUGCUCUCUGUUAGCCCUGGCAAGUGUGUCUGCAGUGUUAGUAAACCUGGCCUGGAAGUUGAAUUUGUGAUGUAAGCUGACCAGCAGACUCUGCAAAAAAAACAGCAGCCUGAGUUGUUAAAGAGGAAGCUAUUACAUUGAGUGCAGACUGAUGCUUGGGCAUGUGUUUAUUCCAUCAUGUAUUAGUGAUUUUGAUUUAAUUGGUGGCACAUGUGAAGUCCUCAGCAACACAAGCAUCAUGUGUGUGAUCACCGUGUGCAUCCGAGGGAGGAGCAGUGCUCCCCACAUGGGUGUCACUCCGCACAGUAGCGAUUUUCCCAUGAUGCCUUGCUGCUGGCUGAGGGCGAGGAGCUAAGCCUGAUGUAGCAGACACAGAUGUCUAUGCUGGAAAUGUGUCCAUUGCGUCCUUACCUACAUAAUUUUUCUUGCAAGAGUAAUUGGACAUAAAACGGUAAACGCCCAGGGAGGAGCCUGUUCUGAGACAGACCUUGUGAGCACCUGCUCAUGAGCCCAGCCCUGUGUCACCCAGAGGCCUUCAUCCUUGGAGGAGAGCAGGAGGCAUCGGAACCUUGUUGGCGACAUCCUCUCUGUCAGAACUUCGGGUGCUCUUUAAUUAUUCAAAGUUGAUGCCUUGGCCUAUUAAGGACCAUACGAGUCAGAGUGAGCAGUGCCCUGGGUUGGGUCCUAACUUCUCUGGGGACGGGGGACCACUGAUGUGUACAUCUUCCUAUCGCCAAAAUGAUCAUGCUGCCUAUGCAGGCCCUCCCUGAUUUUUAUGCCUUUUAGACAAUAUUGGUAGAAGACAAUUACUUCCUGGUUUUUUCUUCCUUGACUUAGAUUUUCCCUGUGGUGAAAGUGUAGCUGCAAGGGUGCUGAUU
ensembl:lncRNA